rnacentral:rRNA from 1 species
AAUCAGGUAGGACUACCCGCUGAACUUAAGCAUAUCAAUAGCCGAAGGAU